GAUGAACGCUGGCGGCGUGCCUAAUACAUGCAAGUCGAGCGAACGGACGAGAAGCUUGCUUCUCUGAUGUUAGCGGCGGACGGGUGAGUAACACGUGGAUAACCUACCUAUAAGACUGGGAUAACUUCGGGAAACCGGAGCUAAUACCGGAUAAUAUUUUGAACCGCAUGGUUCAAAAGUGAAAGACGGUCUUGCUGUCACUUAUAGAUGGAUCCGCGCUGCAUUAGCUAGUUGGUAAGGUAACGGCUUACCAAGGCAACGAUGCAUAGCCGACCUGAGAGGGUGAUCGGCCACACGGGAACUGAGACACGGUCCAGACUCCUACGGGAGGCAGCAGUAGGGAAUCUUCCGCAAUGGGCGAAAGCCUGACGGAGCAACGCCGCGUGAGUGAUGAAGGUCUUCGGAUCGUAAAGCUCUGUUAUUAGGGAAGAACAGAUGUGUAAGUAACUGUGCACAUCUUGACGGUACCUAAUCAGAAAGCCCCGGCUAACUACGUG
rnacentral:rRNA from 1 species